GGGGGGGUGGUCUAGCUUGGUAUGAUACUCGGCUGGGGAGGUAGUGGCCGGGGGUUCGAAUCCCUCCCCUCCCA
rnacentral:tRNA from 1 species